AUGGCUAUCAUUUUACAGUUGGAUGAAUCUCUGUCACAUCUGCGUAUCAUCUUCCACCAUUUGCUGUGGAUGGAUUGCUUCUCUUCUGAAAUUCCGCAUUAUGUAUUUACUUCAUCACCAACUUAAUGUCGUCAUAUUCUGAGAUGCAUCAUAGGGUCCUCCUUAAAUGGCAUGCAUUCUCGGCUUUGUUUCUUUCCUGUCACAGUUCUUAUGCUCCUGCAGGACAUAUCACCUAAGCAACUGCAAGA
rnacentral:lncRNA from 1 species